rnacentral:Y_RNA from 1 species
AGCUGGUCUGAUGGUAGUGGGUUAUGAGAACUUAUUAACAUUAAGUGUCACUAAAGUUGGUAUACAACCCACACUGCUAAAUUUGACUGGCUUAAA